rnacentral:rRNA from 1 species
AGUGAACGCUGGCGGUAGGCUUAACACAUGCAAGUCGAACGGUGAACGAGGGAGCUUGCUCCCUCCGGAUCAGUGGCGAACGGGUGAGUAACACGUGAGCAAUCUGCCCUGGACUCUGGGAUAAGCGUUGGAAACGACGUCUAAUACCGGAUACGAGGCGUGGGGGCAUCCCCAACGCCUGGAAAGAACUUCGGUCCAGGAUGAGCUCGCGGCCUAUCAGGUAGUUGGUGAGGUAACGGCUCACCAAGCCUACGACGGGUAGCCGGCCUGAGAGGGUGACCGGCCACACUGGGACUGAGACACGGCCCAGACUCCUACGGGAGGCAGCAGUGGGGAAUAUUGCACAAUGGGCGAAAGCCUGAUGCAGCAACGCCGCGUGAGGGACGACGGCCUUCGGGUUGUAAACCUCUUUUAGCAGGGAAGAAGCGAAAGUGACGGUACCUGCAGAAAAAGCACCGGCUAACUACGUGCCAGCAGCCGCAGUAA